GGAGGUCCUACCUGCCCAGUGACAAAUUAAACGGCCGCGGUAUUUUGACCGUGCAAAGGUAGCGCAAUCACUUGUUUUUUAAAUAAAGACCUGUAUGAAUGGUGAAACGAGGGCUUAACUGUCUCCUUUUUCUGAUCAGUGAAAUUGAUCUAUCCGUGCAGAAGCGGGUAUAAAAAUACAAGACGAGAAGACCCUAUGGAGCUUAAGACAAAAAUCAACUAUGUUAAAAACCCCAAUAAAGGAAAAAAACAAAACAGCAACUGAUUGGCGUCUUCGGUUGGGGCGACUACGGGGGAAAACUAAUCCCCCACGUGGAAUAGAACACAAUUCUAAAACCAUGAGGUACACCUCUAAGUCACAGAACUUCUGACCAAAUGAUCCGGCAACUAGCCGAUCAACGAACCAAGUUACCCUAGGGAUAACAGCGCAAUCCCCUCCAAGAGUCCUUAUCGACAAGGGGGUUUACGACCUCGAUGUUGGAUCAGGACAUCCUAAUGGUGCAGCCGCUAUUAAGGG
rnacentral:rRNA from 1 species